rnacentral:rRNA from 1 species
GAUGAACGCUGGCGGCGUGCCUAAUACAUGCAAGUCGAGCGAACAGACGAGGAGCUUGCUCCUCUGACGUUAGCGGCGGACGGGUGAGUAACACGUGGAUAACCUACCUAUAAGACUGGGAUAACUUCGGGAAACCGGAGCUAAUACCGGAUAAUAUAUUGAACCGCAUGGUUCAAUAGUGAAAGACGGUUUUGCUGUCACUUAUAGAUGGAUCCGCGCCGCAUUAGCUAGUUGGUAAGGUAACGGCUUACCAAGGCAACGAUGCGUAGCCGACCUGAGAGGGUGAUCGGCCACACUGGAACUGAGACACGGUCCAGACUCCUACGGGAGGCAGCAGUAGGUAAUCUUCCGCACUGGGCGAAAGCUUGACGGAGCAACGCCGCGUGAGUGAUAAAGGUCUUCGAAUCGUAAAACUCUGUUAUUAGGGAAGAACAAAUGUGUAAGUAACUAUGCACGUCUUGACGGUACCUAAUCAGAAAGCCACGGCUAACUACGUG